rnacentral:rRNA from 1 species
GUUUGAUCCUGGCUCAGAUUGAACGCUGGCGGCAUGCCUUACACAUGCAAGUCGAACGGUAACAGGUCUUCGGAUGCUGACGAGUGGCGAACGGGUGAGUAAUACAUCGGAACGUGCCCGAUCGUGGGGGAUAACGAAGCGAAAGCUUUGCUAAUACCGCAUACGAUCUACGGAUGAAAGCAGGGGACCGCAAGGCCUUGCGCGAACGGAGCGGCCGAUGGCAGAUUAGGUAGUUGGUGGGAUAAAAGCUUACCAAGCCGACGAUCUGUAGCUGGUCUGAGAGGACGACCAGCCACACUGGGACUGAGACACGGCCCAGACUCCUACGGGAGGCAGCAGUGGGGAAUUUUGGACAAUGGGCGAAAGCCUGAUCCAGCCAUGCCGCGUGCAGGAUGAAGGCCUUCGGGUUGUAAACUGCUUUUGUACGGAACGAAAAGACUCUGGUUAAUACCUGGGGUCCAUGACGGUACCGUAAGAAUAAGCACCGGCUAACUACCGUGCCAGCCAGCCGCGGUAAUACGUAAGGGUGCAAGCGUAAAUCGGGAAUUACUGGGCGUAAAGCGUGCGCAGGCGGUUAUAUA